AUGAACGCUGGCGGCGUGCCUAAUACAUGCAAGUCGAGCGAACAGACGAGGAGCUUGCUCCUCUGACGUUAGCGGCGGACGGGUGAGUAACACGUGGAUAACCUACCUAUAAGACUGGGAUAACUUCGGGAAACCGGAGCUAAUACCGGAUAAUAUAUUGAACCGCAUGGUUCAAUAGUGAAAGACGGUUUUGCUGUCACUUAUAGAUGGAUCCGCGCCGCAUUAGCUAGUUGGUAAGGUAACGGCUUACCAAGGCAACGAUGCGUAGCCGACCUGAGAGGGUGAUCGGCCACACUGGAACUGAGACACGGUCCAGACUCCUACGGGAGGCAGCAGUAGGGAAUCUUCCGCAAUGGGCGAAAGCCUGACGGAGCAAUGCCGCGUGAGUGAUGAAGGUCUUCGGAUCGUAAAACUCUGUUAUUAGGGAAGAACAAAUGUGUAAGUAACUAUGCACGUCUUGACGGUACCUAAUCAGAAAGCCACGGCUAACUACGUG
rnacentral:rRNA from 1 species